CUUCAGCGAGCCGAGCCACAGCGGACGGUCACGGCCCCGGCCGUAGGUGGCCAACAGCGCCUGCGCCUC
rnacentral:antisense_RNA from 1 species